rnacentral:rRNA from 1 species
CCUACGGGGGGCUGCAGUGGGGAAUAUUGCACAAUGGGCGCAAGCCUGAUGCAGCGACGCCGCGUGAGGGAUGACGGCCUUCGGGUUGUAAACCUCUUUCAGUACCGACGAAGCGCAAGUGACGGUAGGUACAGAAGAAGCACCGGCCAACUACGUGCCAGCAGCCGCGGUAAUACGUAGGGUGCGAGCGUUGUCCGGAAUUACUGGGCGUAAAGAGCUCGUAGGCGGUUUGUCGCGUCGUCUGUGAAAACCCGCAGCUCAACUGCGGGCUUGCA